rnacentral:lncRNA from 1 species
AAAGGGAGGCAUUGUGGAAUCAAUUAUUGUCUGCAACUUAAAAAGUGGAGUUAGGAGAGGAGAAUGGGAUAUGAUAGAGGUACACAAACAUACUUUUCUUGUGAAUUCCAAUUUCUCCGUACUCAUGCUUAACUUUUUUAAUUUCAUUUCUCGAAUUUUCUUAUGGAUUAAACAAUAUGUGGUGAUGUGAAUGAUGUUGUGAUGCAGGUUUACUUUCGUGAGAUACAAUUACAAGUCAUCGAUGAUCUUACACAACUUUUAAAAGCUCAUGUUCUGUUGGUCGAUUUGUGGUUAGUGCCUCUCAAGUUGGUUAAAGCAUUACGGUAGAGAAGGAAAUAUGGAAGCCUCCAACGAAGAAGAAGAGUAAGAGAAAUAGGAGGAGAAGAAGACUUCUUUUCUUAGUGUUUUAUAAUAUGUAGAACUUAUGUUUGACUCUUUGUGUAUAAAGUAAUGAAGUAUUUGUCAUUUAAUAAACCGUUUUUGAUACCCA